rnacentral:rRNA from 1 species
CGGAGAGUUUGAUCCUGGCUCAGGNCGAUCGCUGGCGGCGUGCCUAAUACAUGCAAGUCGAACGAACUCUGGUAUUGAUUGGUGCUUGCAUCAUGAUUUACAUUUGAGUGAGUGGCGAACUGGUAAGUAACACGUGGGAAACCUGCCCAGAAGCGGGGGAUAACACCUGGAAACAGAUGCUAAUACCGCAUAACAACUUGGACCGCAUGGUCCGAGUUUGAAAGAUGGCUUCGGCUAUCACUUUUGGAUGGUCCCGCGGCGUAUUAGCUAGAUGGUGAGGCAACGGCUCACCAUGGCAAUGAUACGUAGCCGACCUGAGAGGGUAAUCGGCCACAUUGGGACUGAGACACGGCCCAAACUCCUACGGGAGGCAGCAGUAGGGAAUCUUCCACAAUGGACGAAAGUCUGAUGGAGCAACGCCGCGUGAGUGAAGAAGGGUUUCGGCUCGUAAAACUCUGUUGUUAAAGAAGAACAUAUCUGAGAGUAACUGUUCAGGUAUUGACGGUAUUUAACCAGAAAGCCACGGCUAACUACGUGCCAGCAGCCGCGGUAAUACGUAGGUGGCAAGCGUUGUCCGGAUUUAUUGGGCGUAAAGCGAGCGCAGGCGGUUUUUUAAGUCUGAUGUGAAAGCCUUCGGCUCAACCGAAGAAGUGCAUCGGAAACUGGGAGACUUGAGUGCAGAAGAGGACAGUGGAACUCCAUGUGUAGCGGUGGAAUGCGUAGAUAUAUGGAAGAACACCAGUGGCGAAGGCGGCUGUCUAGUCUGUAACUGACGCUGAGGCUCGAAAGCAUGGGUAGCGAACAGGAUUAGAUACCCUGGUAGUCCAUGCCGUAAACGAUGAGUGCUAAGUGUUGG